CCGCCGUAAGAGAAAAUGUAUUUCUUCGCUUAUGUUCAUAGAAGAAGAUCUAAUGGAGUUUAAAGAGUGGGGAAGGAUGAUCAACGCUAUAUUUCUGACACCUCUUGUAUGAGAAGAACCCUAAAAAAGUUCUUCCUUUGAGCACACUGAUGAUGAUGUAUCCAAUUAAUUGAGGUAUAGUGGAACUGAGACCCUGUUUACAGGGAGAACCCCUUGGCGAAGCUAUAUUUCAAAUGACAUCAAUGGAUCUAGCUGAGGCAUUUUAUCAUUUGUCUUUUCAGUUUGGGGUUCAAUUUCAGACUUAAAGUUCUGUGAUGACACUAUUGUGGACUAGAGUUUCUGAUUGGGGCACUUCACCCUAAUAUUUGAUUACAAACCCUUGGCUGUCUGAGAACUUUUAUACAUUGUAUAAUAACUUUCGUAUUUACUUGUGUUUAUUGCUAUGCUGAUGAUGAUUGUGUCCAAUCACCUGAGAUGUAGUGGAACUGAGACCCUGUUUACAGGGAGAACCCCUUGGGGAAAUUGCAUUUCACAUGAAAUUAAUGGAUAAUUCUGAGGCAUUCAGCUAAUGUAGUUAUUUUGUCUUCUUAAGUUUAGUUUUGACUACUGCUUUGUUUAUCAUGAUUGAGUUUUAACUAUUCUACAUUUCACAAUUAACUGGUUGACAUGUAGACUGAAAAAACUCAUAAAGUGUGUGUUGUCUAUCAGCUUCUUCUUUCGAAAUUUACGAGACCGCAGUUAAACUACAACACUAUAUUAUUUUACAUGCUAGGCUAACUAAAUCCAAGCUUGGGAUUACGUGGAUUUCAUAUAAAAAGCCAAUUUGCAGAGCAAAGUCGUCUAAUUGAUGACCUAACAUUUGCAUUGAAGGUUGGCAAUAAUAAGCAACGAUUCUCCGUGCCUAUCAAAACCUCAAUUUUGAACAAGGCCUCGAACAAGUCGAUACAUUUC